CGUUUCGCAGCUGUUAGAUUUGUGACACGGAUACGUACAGUUUUUGGCGAACUCGAUUGAUUUUUAGAUUUAGAGAGCGCGUAACUGCAAAUUCUCGCGAAUAAACGCAUGUAUCAUUUUUGUAUAUCUAUAGCGUUGAAUUUCGUAUCCCAGAUACCAUUGAAAUUCGAUAUUCUGUGUUCUAUCGAUGCGCAUGCAUCGUGCGUGUCAGUUUUAAUCCCCGGUAGUUACCUAAUAAUAUGUGAUAUACCGCUAAAAAAUUUUGCCGUCAACUUUCUCCCGUUCGUGGCUUUUGAUGAACUUCCCUCAAAUAUUUUACCCUGAAUCUAGCAAAUUCACGUUGAAUAUGAUUACGGAUGAAGAGAGAGGAGAUUCUGUGGUAUUACCAGCACAUAGAGCUUGUCAUAGAGGUCGGUCGAACCCAACAUCAUAAUUAGUUAUUUGAAGUGGAGACACCUAUGUAAUUAAUCAAUAAAUUGGAUAAGGAAUUGGAUACGGAUUAAGAUACGGAAUAUGUGGAUACUAUAAAAUUGUUUUGAAUUUUAAUAGAUUAUUUAAAAUAUCUUUAAUAUAUUACAAUUAUAUAAUUAAAUAUUGUCAGAACA